CCGCGGCCCCACGUGACUUUCCGGGUUUCGCCUGCCGGACCGAGUCGGAUGGCUGAUGGUUACGGUGGGGUGCGGUUGGAACGAGCCCGUGAAUUAAGUUUGUGGUGUGCUCCCGCAUUUCGAAGGUGCUUGCAGAGAUCGUUAGUAGGACCCGCGCUUCUCUCCCUUGAAUUUUUGUGGAAGUGACCCUGUGUUGGGUUCCCGCAGGGAAAUGAAGAAGCCACGUGGUUGAGUUUCUGCUCCGCCGCCCACCUAGUGUGAGCGGCCAAAACACCGACAGCGGUCUCCAGCCUUCCAGCCAGAGCUGUACGCAGUCUACCUCUAUCCCACUUUCCCAACCUGUCUUUUCCGAAUUUCUUGCUAUUUCAGUCAGCGGUAGCAGCAGUCAACGCCACCACUACAGAGAAUCAGAGACGAGCUGGGUUGGAAAUGCAUCUGGUCCGCUCCCACCCCCACUUUACAGGAUCUCUGCAGAGCAUCAGUUUCGUUCAUCACAUGCCUCACUAUUGGUGAGAGGCCCCAUGGCAAGCCUAGCUCCCCAGUAGGCUUUGAAAUGUCACCAGUAUGACCAGAGGAACCCAUCCAAAGGCCCAGAGAGAGGAUCUGGAGACUUCAUGCAAACAGCUUAACCUCUCAGAAUGUUGCUGUGGAACUUAAGGACCUGAGGCUUGUCGCUUCAAGACUGGCAGCAACGGCAGGGCAGAGGGGAGUCACUCGGUGACUCUGCCACACCAGGUAGCCCUUCUCUAAGUGGAACGUCCAGCCGACCCGACCCUGCCCCCUGGGAAGUACAGACUGAGACUACUCGGACGGGACACAUCCCUACCUCCCGGAACAUCGACCUCUGUCACCAGGAGGCGCGAGACCGGGAAACCGGAAGGGCCACCCGCACGUGUGGUUUUCUCGCGGUUACCUCAGCAGCGCUCUUCGCAAUCUGAAAGCUGGAGCUUUUGAAGAGCCCCACCACCUUCACCUGCAGCGGCUGCUCGGGCGGCGACUGCGAGCGGCACCGGGCCGACCUUGGCCGGCACUGCUUCGGGCUCGCCAUGGCGGCGCUGGGGGACUGCUCCGAGCACAAACACUGCGCGUCUCCGGGGCAACCGCGCGGCUCCGCCCCCGUCUGCAGCUGGGAGGAAGGACGCGAGUGGGCCGGCGGCGACGGCCGGGUCUUCUCUCAACUUGGCUCAUGUUGCUGGGACGCCGCUUGGCCCUCGUCUCCCGGCUGCGCCAGAUUUCACAGUAGAUCGCCUUUCCGGGUUGGCGGGCAGCCAGUUGCGGGGGCGGGGCGGGGGAAGGAGGGGGC